GAUGAAGAACGUAGCGAAAUGCGAUAAGUGAUGUGAAUUGCAGAAUUCAGUGAAUCAUCGAAUCUUUGAACGCACAUUGCGCCCCUUGGUAUUCCGAGGGGCAUACCUGUUCGAGCGUCAUUAUAACCCCUCAAGCUCAGCUUGGUGUUGGGGCCUGCCGCACGGGCAGCCCUUAAAAUCAGUGGCGGUGCUAUCUGGCUCUAAGCGUAGUAAUUCUUCUCGCUAUAGAGUCCCGGUGGAUGCUUGCCAUUAACCCCCAAUUUUCUAUGGUUGACCUCGGAUCAGGUAGGGAUACCCGCUGAACUUAAGCAUAUCAAUAAGCGGAGGA
rnacentral:misc_RNA from 1 species